UACGUAGGGGGCAAGCGUUGUCCGGAAUCAUUGGGCGUAAAGAGCGUGUAGGCGGCUCGAUAAGUCCGCUGUGAAAGUCCAGGGCUCAACCCUGGAAGGCCGGUGGAAACUGUCGGGCUAGAGUCCGGAAGAGGCGAGUGGAAUUCCCGGUGUAGCGGUGAAAUGCGCAGAUAUCGGGAAGAACACCCGUGGCGAAGGCGGCUCUCUGGGACGGUACUGACGCUGAGACGCGAAAGCGUGGGGAGCAAACAGG
rnacentral:rRNA from 1 species